ACACUUUAUGUUAUUUCCAUGCUACACACUUACACUUGAUCCAUGUCGUUGGUUAUAUUGAUAUACGUGAUCUAUGUUGGUUCUAGUUACGCAAGAGUAACUAAGAGCUCUUAGAUCCUAUGUGGUAUGAUUGAUGGACCGGAUUGUUCAUGACAAUUUUAUUAUGAUAGCAAUUCUGAGCUCAUAAGGUUAUAAUGUAAUAUAUAAUGCUAAGGUUUGUACAUAUGUAUGAGUAUCUCGUCCAUGUAGGAG
rnacentral:lncRNA from 1 species